rnacentral:rRNA from 1 species
GACGAACGCUGGCGGCGUGCCUAACACAUGCAAGUCGAACGAAGCACUGGAAUUGAUUUCUUCGGAAUGAUUUUUCUUUGACUGAGUGGCGGACGGGUGAGUAACACGUGAGCAACCUGCCUUUCAGAGCGGGAUAGCAGUUGGAAACGACUGAUAAUACCGCAUGACAUGUCUCUUCCGCAUGAGAGAGACAUCAAAUGAUUUUUCGCUGAAAGAUGGGCUCGCGUCCGAUUAGGUAGUUGGUGAGGCAACGGCUCACCAAGCCGACGAUCGGUAGCCGGACUGAGAGGUCGAUCGGCCACAUUGGGACUGAGACACGGCCCAG